AAUGAAAUGCCUGAAAAAAGGAUUAUUUUGAUAGAAUAAAUCAUGUAUUAAAUUAUACUUUCAUUA
rnacentral:tRNA from 1 species